rnacentral:tRNA from 1 species
AGUGAUGCAGCCCAGUUUGGUAGCGCAUUUGUUUCGGGUACAAAAUGUCGCGGGUUCAAAUCAUGUCAUCCCUA